AUUUAUCACCUUAUUUUAUUUUUUAAAAGAUUUUAUUUGUAAGUAAUCUCUACAUUGAACAGGGAACUUGAACUCACAACCCCACAAUCAAUAGUUGCCUGCCACCCCUGACUGAGCCAGGUGUCCCUAAAUCACAUCAUUUUAGAAAUGAAGAAACAAAGACUCAAAAUGUUUUCAUUUAUGGAGGAUCCCAGAGCCAGGAAAUGGCAGAACCAUGCCCUAAUCCCACAUGUGACCCUGAACUCUGCUCUCAGCUGCCCACCCCCUUGUAAGUACAAGCCUAGAGGCAGAUUCUGGGGGAGCCAUGCCUUGGUAGUCUGUGAUGCAGCAGAGUAAGUCACCUUUGCCUCUGUGGCUGACUUGGGGAUCACUUCUUACCUCCCCGCUUCCCAACUGAAGUUGAAUCAGAAACAAGCUUCAGAUCUGAAAUCUGCUUCAACUCCAUAGCAGUGAAAUGAACAUUUAACCAUUUAAAUGAUUUUUUCAGGGUCCCCACAAAGUGUGGGAGCAAGGCACGACCUUCUGAGGGGAAAGCAGUGGCUUUCCCUGCAAGGGGUCUCAUGACCAAAACUGUCCCAGGGAGAAAAAAAUAUCCUCUUGGCUGUCCUUGCUAAACGGACAGUCGUAGACCAUAUGACCACAUGGUUCUGUGGUUCUUCCUCCUCCUCCCCCUCUUCCUCCUCCUCUCCCCUCCUCCACUCUUCCUCUCAUCUCCUUUCAUUCUCCUUCUCUUCCCCCCUUCCUCCUCUCCUCCUCCUCUGCCACCUCGUCCCAGUGCUGGUGCUAAUUAGACCGCUGUGAAAAUGAGCAUCUCGGCUGUAAAAAGGUGAAACAGAAAUUGAACCAAGAAACGGGGGCUCGAGGAGGAUGGCAGAAGGGCAGAAUGGCAAGGUUGUGCUGUCUUAGGACUGUGAAGUUUGGUCAUCUGGGCUGCCUUUAGGCUGCUGGUGCUUCUCUUCCCCUCCAUGUGGAAAAUACUGUCUGCAGUAGGAGCCUGGGAGUAUGGAGCUAAGGAGAGACACACAGAGACGAAAAACUACAGUUCACCUGGAAAGGCCAGAGAACUUGCAUCUGAGAGGGAGAAUGUUUUGGGAGAGAAAGCUCAUGGGCUGAAUCUGUAUCAGGGACCUGCAAGGGACUGCCCAGAUGUCGCUCCUCUUAACUUCUGCAACCACCUC
rnacentral:lncRNA from 1 species